UUAAUUGAAACCAAAAUAGAGGUAUAUCACUGUUAAUGAUAACAUUAAGAAUAAUCUUCAAUUAAA
rnacentral:tRNA from 1 species